UUUAGUUCCUCUGUUUCCCUUGUCCUGGGUUGGAUCUUUUGUCAUCAGCAUUAUCAUCAUCAUCUUCAUCAUCCUCAUCAUCCUCAUCAUCAAGGUUUUCAAAGUCAGACUCCACCAUGGCCAUUGGCACGGGUCCUCGUCCUCAUCCUUGGUGAUGUCCGCCGGGCCUUCCCCAGGCUCUUCAGGGUCCUUGGACUUCCUGCCAAGAAUCUGCAGAACCGAUCGAACCAUAAAAGCUUUGAACCAGUUGAUGCCACGAGUGAUCCUGCCGAUAGCAAUCUGGAGGUUGUUCAUCUCGCCAUCAUCAUCCCCUACUGAGAGGUUGUCUCCACUGAAAGAGCUGAGCAGCAAGGCCAGGAAGAGGUUCAACACCUGAGGAACAAAGUGAAGAAGGUGAUGAGGAGACAUGUAAAUACUUGAACACAAAUGUCAUGCUUUGAUGGGAAGAAAAAGUCAAGUUAGUAAAUAAAAAAACUGAAUAAGUCUUUAUUGUAGAAGUGAAAUGACGAUUGGCUGAAUCUGCACAAUUAAAAACCAAAGUCUAGACUCAAGCACACAUCAUAUACAAAAUUGGUCCUAUGAUGUCUCAUUAAUAAACAUUAUGUCGUCUGCC